rnacentral:lncRNA from 1 species
CUUCAGUCAGAGUAGACCUUAAAGUUUAGAAUUUAUGCAAAGAGAUAAUUUGAGCAUUUCAUCAGAUUAGACACCAUGGAGAACUGAGCAUGUCUCACUGUGGAAGGAGGAUGACAGUGCCAUUCCAGAGUAGCCCUGGAUGAUUAGGUGCCAAUUUCCAAUUUCAAUCUUCUAUCCAACUCAGGAGCACAUCAAAGGUUAAGUUAAGGACAGGUUAUGAUAGAUUGAGAAGAGCGGGUGUGGCGGCAGUCCCAAAGGCGCCAGGGACUGCAACUAAGUCGUAUGACUUGCACCUGACUUCCUCAUAUAAGCCACAAACAUCUUGAGAGCUGCGCAGGCCGGUGAAUCCAUUUUGAUGGAGAUAUGCCCCUGCUGCCCUGAUGAGCUGAAGCUGCGUGCCUGGUGAAGUGGCGUGGCCUGCUGUGCAUGGAUGGGAACUGAGAGUAUAAAAGAGUGAGAGGUCCAGGGUUCGAGGGAGAUAUAAACAAGGGAGAUAUAAACAAGGGAGAUAUAAACAAGAAGAAACAGG